UACGGAGGGUGCGAGCGUUAAUCGGAAUUACUGGGCGUAAAGCGCACGUAGGCGGUCAGGCAAGUCGGGUGUGAAAGCCCUGGGCUCAACCUGGGAAUUGCAUUCGAAACUAUCUGACUCGAGUAUGGGAGAGGGAAGCGGAAUUUCCGGUGUAGCGGUGAAAUGCGUAGAUAUCAGGAGGAACACCGAUGGCGAAGGCAGGUCUCUGGGCCACUACUGACGCUGAGAAGCGAAAGCAUGGGGAGCGAACAGG
rnacentral:rRNA from 1 species